CAAUAGCGUAUAUUUAAGUUGUUGCAGUUAAAAAGCUCGUAGUCGGAUUUUGGCUGAGAACGAACGGUCCGCCGUUAGGUGCGCACUGUUUGGUCUCAGCUUCCUGGUGAGGAGGUGUGCUUCACGGCCACUUAGUCACCGUGGUUACUUUGAAAAAAUUAGAGUGUUCAAAGCGGGCUUACGCUUGAAUAUAUUAGCAUGGAAUAACACCAUAGGACUCCUGUCCUAUUUCGUUGGUCUCGGGACGGGAGUAAUGAUUAAGAGGAACAGUUGGGGGCAUUCGUAUUUCAUUGUCAGAGGUGAAAUUCUUGGAUUUAUGAAAGACGAACUUCUGCGAAAGCAUUUGCCAAGGAUGUUUUCAUUGA
rnacentral:rRNA from 1 species